AGCAGGAAGAGCUGGGGCCAGCUGCAUGUAGAGCACAGAGGGCAGACUGAUAUUCAAGUAGGACGGAGGAAUAUGAGGGAGGCGGAGGUUUUGGCGGUCCUUGAGGAUAGGUGAGUACAAAGGCCACAGAGAUGAGGAGAUAGCUCCUCAGAUGGUUAAGAGUUGUGUCCAAGGGGACACAAGGUCUAGGGGAGAGUUCCUAGCCCUAGUUGUUUAACAAAAAUGUUAGGUUUCCACCAGCCCGGUUAACUCACACCCAUGAAUCCAUUCCUACCAGUGUUUCUGCUUGGGGGCUUUUGUCCCGCGCAUCCCGCAGCGAAGGAUGCACUCCGCAGCCCUCUCUCACUCUCCACCUUCGGGCAAACCCUGGGGUUAAUUCUUCCCUCUCCCCCCACCCCCCCAAAGCAGGGGUGUCGCCCAGCUUUGUGCGCCCAGGUGCUGGAGGCGAGAGCCAGGGGACAGCUGAGGACUACCUACCCCUUGGCCGUCCCUUGAUGCUUCAGAUCUGGGCCUGCAGCCUGCUAUUAGGGCUCCACCCAGUAUGGAAGGAGAGUCUCCUGGCUCCUCCAGAUCAAGAUGUAGGACUCUUGGCUCCUCCAGCACCGUGUCUACCUGCACACUGCCAUGCUUCCUGCUAUGAUGAUAAU